rfam:Glossina morsitans morsitans, isolate Yale, WGS project CCAG01000000 data, contig: ctg10002320
CUCUUUGGUUAUCUAGCUGUAUGAGUGAUUAAUAACGUCAUAAAGCUAGCUUACCGAAGUU